AUUGAACGCUGGCGGCAGGCCUAACACAUGCAAGUCGGACGGUAGCACAGAGGAGCUUGCUCCUCGGGUGACGAGUGGCGGACGGGUGAGUAAUGUCUGGGGAUCUGCCCGAUAGAGGGGGAUAACCACUGGAAACGGUGACUAAUACCGCAUAACGUCGCAAGACCAAAGAGGGGGACCUUCGGGCCUCUCACUAUCGGAUGAACCCAGAUGGGAUUAGCUAGUAGGCGGGGUAACGGCCCACCUAGGCGACGAUCCCUAGCUGGUCUGAGAGGAUGACCAGCCACACUGGAACUGAGACACGGUGCAGACUCCUACGGGAGGCAGCAGUGGGGAAUAUUGCACAAUGGGCGCAAGCCUGAUGCAGCCAUGCCGCGUGUAUGAAGAAGGCCUUCGGGUUGUAAAGUACUUUCAGCGGGGAGGAAGGCGAUGUGGUUAAUAACCGCAUUGAUUGACGUUACCCGCAGAAGAAGCACCGGCUAACUCCGUGCCAGCCGCCGCUGUAA
rnacentral:rRNA from 1 species